rnacentral:rRNA from 1 species
UGGGUAAUCUGCCCUCGGCACCGGGAUAGCCCGAGGAAACUCGGAUUAAUACCGGAUGGCCUCUCGCGCUCUCGAGCGCGAAAGAAAAGGUGGCUUCGGCUUCUGGCCGAGGAUGAGCCCGCGGCCGAUUAGCUUGUUGGUGAGGUAAUGGCUCACCAAGGCUACGAUCGGUAGCUGGUCUGAGAGGACGAUCAGCCACACGUGGGACUGAGACACGGCCCAGACUCCGUACGGG